AGGGGAGUAGCUCAGUGGUAGAGCACAUGCUUAGCAUGCACAAGAUCCUGGGUUCAUUCCCCGGUGCCUCCA
rnacentral:tRNA from 1 species